AGCAUUCCUGAAAUGAAUCAAUAAUCAAAUGGAGUCUCCUGAUAGCGAAGACGAAAGAAAUAGAGGAAUUUUGAACGUACAAAAUCAACCUUACGACGAAGCUCUAGAGAUUCCAGACGGCGAGGAAGUUGCAAGUGAAUAUUCACCCACUCCUCGAGUCCAUCCAGGACUCUCUCGCCAAAAGCGACCACCAGUGCCUCCUGGUUCCCCAACUCACAGUUUUGAUGCAUCCGAGCCUUCUGCACCAAGAGGACAGAGUAGAGGAGAUACACCCCCAGAAACAACCAUGUCUGAUGAAAAUGAUGAUGAAUUCGAGGAUAAUAUGAAUCAAAUGCCUCACCAGGGUGAACUGAAACCCAUGCAACAGUCACAGGCCCCUAAACCUCAGCCCAGACAGCAACAGCAGUUUGAGAAUGAUGAAGAUGAUGAUGAUGAUGACGACUCCGGGUCAGAUACAGAUGAUGACGAUGAUGAUGAUGAUGACGAUGAUGAUGAUCAUGUUCCAGUUGAAGGAGCAUAUGACCCUGGGGAUUACGAAAAUCUUCCUGUAACUCCUGAAAUAAAGGAACUGUUUCAAUACAUUACAAGGUAUUCUUUUUUAAGUUAGUACAGGUUGUAUACUCAUGUAAUAGAAUAUUCUAUUUUCCCAUACCGGUAUUUGUUAUAAAAUUUCACCUUUAAAAACAAGUGUUAGAACUUUUAUUAGUCAGAAGGAAAAGUUCUGAAGUGAGUGCGAUGGUAUGGUAUGGUUUCUUUUCAGGUAUACACCACAGACUGUAGAGCUAGAUUACAAACUUAAACCAUUUAUUCCUGAUUACAUUCCUGCUGUGGGUGACAUUGAUGCGUUCAUCAAGGUCAGUAAAUGACUGGGUUUGACAAGUGUAGGCUUACUGUGUUAUCAUUGUAGAUACACUCCUCAGACAAUUGAACUAGAUCACAGCCUCCUACCGUUUAUCCCUGACCUUAUCCCUGCUGUUGGAGACAUUGAUGCCUUCCUGAAGAUAACUCGCCCAGACAACAGACCCGACACCCUAGGACUGACAGUGCUAGAUGAGCCCUGUGCCAAGCAGUCUGACCCCACUGUCCUUGACCUUCAGCUCAGGGCCAUAUCAAAGCAGACCACAGACAAAAAGGUGGUGGUCAAGAGCAUAGAUACAGCAGAGAAGAAUCCAAAACAGAUAGAGAGCUGGAUCGACAGCAUCAAGGAACUUCACAGGACCCAGCCCCCUCCCAACGUUCAUUAUUCCAAAAACAUGCCAGACAUAGAUACUUUAAUGCAAGAAUGGCCACCUGAAUUUGAAGAAUUACUGAAAGAGGUUGGACUUCCUACAGCUGAGCUGGACUGUGAUUUGCCUCAGUAUGUGGAACUUGUUUGUUCAAUACUUGAUAUACCUGUUUAUAAGGGAUCACCUCAUCACAAUGAAAAGAUCCAAGCUCUUCAUGUUUUGUUUACACUAUAUUCAGAAUUCAAGAAUUCUCAGCAUUUCCGGGCCCUUGCUCAAGACAACCAGUUGGAUAACGCCCUGAAAGGAGGUGGCCCGGAGGAUGCUCCGGACGACAAGGAAGAGGAAAGACUGAUCUUGUAAACGUUCAUGUGAAGUGAUGUCCAACUGUCAUUAUUGUACAUUUCUGUGAUUUGGGGUUGACUGUUCAUGCAUAUCUAUGUAUUUAUAAAAGAGAAUCAUGAUAAUGGAAUACCAUUGUUGUUAACUGUGCAAGUUAAGGAUUCAAUAAAUCUUUGAUCUGAUCGU
rnacentral:misc_RNA from 1 species